AACCGGAUUAGAUACCCUGGUAGUCCACGCCGUAAACGGUGGGUACUAGGUGUGGGUUUCCUUCCUUGGGAUCCGUGCCGUAGCUAACGCAUUAAGUACCCCGCCUGGGGAGUACGGCCGCAAGGCUAAAACUCAAAGAAAUUGACGGGGGCCCGCACAAGCGGCGGAGCAUGUGGAUUAAUUCGAUGCAACGCGAAGAACCUUACCUGGGUUUGACAUGCACAGGACGACGGUAGAGAUAUCGUUUCCCUUGUGGCCUGUGUGCAGGUGGUGCAUGGCUGUCGUCAGCUCGUGUCGUGAGAUGUUGGGUUAAGUCCCGCAACGAGCGCAACCCUUGUCUCAUGUUGCCAGCGCGUUAUGGCGGGGACUCGUGAGAGACUGCCGGGGUCAACUCGGAGGGAGGUGGGGAUGACGUCAAGUCAUCAUGCCCCUUAUGUCCAGGGCUUCACACAUGCUACAAUGGCCGGUACAAAGGGCUGCGAUGCCGCGAGGCUUAGCGAAUCCUUUAAAGCCGGUCUCAGUUCGGAUCGGGGUCUGCAACUCGACCCCGUGAAGUCGGAGUCGCUAGUAAUCGCAGAUCAGCAACGCUGCGGUGAAUACGUUCCCGGGCCUUGUACACACCGCCCGUCCCGUCAUGAAAGUCGGUAACACCCGAAGCCAGUGGCCUAACCCUUGUGGGGGGAGCUGUCGAAGGUGGGAUCGGCGAUUGGGACGAAGUCGUAACAAGGUAACCGUAAAU
rnacentral:rRNA from 1 species